GGAGAGGUGGCUGAGUGGUCGAAAGCGGCAGAUUGCUAAUCUGUUGUACCAUUAUUUGGUACCGAGGGUUCGAAUCCCUCCCUCUCCG
rnacentral:tRNA from 1 species